rnacentral:lncRNA from 1 species
UAUCUCGCUGAAAGCCAUUGCUGCGUUAUGACGUGCAAUUAAAAUUUGUUCCAGGUAAGCAGCUCCUCCUGGCUGACAUGCUGUCGCGUGCCACAACCAAGACAACGGCCUCCGACCUCGACAGCAACGAUGUAGAGG